GGGUUGUGAGGUUAAGCGACUAAGCGUACACGGUGGAUGCCCUGGCAGUCAGAGGCGAUGAAGGACGUGCUAAUCUGCGAAAAGCGUCGGUAAGGUGAUAUGAACCGUUAUAACCGGCGAUGUCCGAAUGGGGAAACCCAGUGUGAUUCGUCACACUAUCGUUAACUGAAUACAUAGGUUAACGAGGCGAACCGGGGGAACUGAAACAUCUAAGUACCCGAGGAAAAGAAAUCAACCGAGAUUCCCCCAGUAGCGGCGAGCGAACGGGGAGCAGCCCAGAGUCUGAAUCAGCUUGUGUGUUAGUGGAACGGUCUGGAAAGUCCGACGGUACAGGGUGAUAGUCCCGUACACCAAAAUGCACAGGCUGUGAACUCGAAGAGUAGGGCGGGACACGUGGUAUCCUGUCUGAAUAUGGGGGGACCAUCCUCCAAGGCUAAAUACUCCUGACUGACCGAUAGUGAACCAGUACCGUGAGGGAAAGGCGAAAAGAACCCCGGCGAGGGGAGUGAAAAAGAACCUGAAACCGUGUACGUACAAGCAGUGGGAGCACCUUCGGGUGUGACUGCGUACCUUUUGUAUAAUGGGUCAGCGACUUAUAUUCUGUAGCAAGGUUAACCGUAUAGGGGAGCCGCAGGGAAACCGAGUCUUAACUGGGCGUUAAGUUGCAGGGUAUAGACCCGAAACCCGGUGAUCUAGCCAUGGGCAGGUUGAAGGUUGGGUAACACUAACUGGAGGACCGAACCGACUAAUGUUGAAAAAUUAGCGGAUGACUUGUGGCUGGGGGUGAAAGGCCAAUCAAACCGGGAGAUAGCUGGUUCUCCCCGAAAGCUAUUUAGGUAGCGCCUCGUGAACUCAUCUUCGGGGGUAGAGCACUGUUUCGGCUAGGGGGUCAUCCCGACUUACCAACCCGAUGCAAACUACGAAUACCGAAGAAUGUUAUCACGGGAGACACACGGCGGGUGCUAACGUCCGUCGUGAAGAGGGAAACAACCCAGACCGCCAGCUAAGGUCCCAAAGUCAUGGUUAAGUGGGAAACGAUGUGGGAAGGCACAGACAGCCAGGAUGUUGGCUUAGAAGCAGCCAUCAUUUAAAGAAAGCGUAAUAGCUCACUGGUCGAGUCGGCCUGCGCGGAAGAUGUAACGGGGCUAAACCAUGCACCGAAGCUGCGGCAGCGACACUAUGUGUUGUUGGGUAGGGGAGCGUUCUGUAAGCCUGCGAAGGUGUGCUGUGAGGCAUGCUGGAGGUAUCAGAAGUGCGAAUGCUGACAUAAGUAACGAUAAAGCGGGUGAAAAGCCCGCUCGCCGGAAGACCAAGGGUUCCUGUCCAACGUUAAUCGGGGCAGGGUGAGUCGACCCCUAAGGCGAGGCCGAAAGGCGUAGUCGAUGGGAAACAGGUUAAUAUUCCUGUACUUGGUGUUACUGCGAAGGGGGACGGAGAAGGCUAUGUUAGCCGGGCGACGGUUGUCCCGGUUUAAGCAUGUAGGCUGGUUAUCCAGGCAAAUCCGGAUAAUCAAGGCUGAGGUGUGAUGACGAGGCACUACGGUGCUGAAGUAACAAAUGCCCUGCUUCCAGGAAAAGCCUCUAAGCAUCAGGUAACAUCAAAUCGUACCCCAAACCGACACAGGUGGUCAGGUAGAGAAUACCAAGGCGCUUGAGAGAACUCGGGUGAAGGAACUAGGCAAAAUGGUGCCGUAACUUCGGGAGAAGGCACGCUGGUGUGUAGGUGAAGUCCCUGCGGAUGGAGCUGAGACCAGUCGAAGAUACCAGCUGGCUGCAACUGUUUAUUAAAAACACAGCACUGUGCAAACACGAAAGUGGACGUAUACGGUGUGACGCCUGCCCGGUGCCGGAAGGUUAAUUGAUGGGGUUAUCCGUAAGGAGAAGCUCUUGAUCGAAGCCCCGGUAAACGGCGGCCGUAACUAUAACGGUCCUAAGGUAGCGAAAUUCCUUGUCGGGUAAGUUCCGACCUGCACGAAUGGCGUAAUGAUGGCCAGGCUGUCUCCACCCGAGACUCAGUGAAAUUGAACUCGCUGUGAAGAUGCAGUGUACCCGCGGCAAGACGGAAAGACCCCGUGAACCUUUACUAUAGCUUGACACUGAACAUUGAGCCUUGAUGUGUAGGAUAGGUGGGAGGCUUUGAAGCGUGGACGCCAGUCUGCGUGGAGCCAACCUUGAAAUACCACCCUUUAAUGUUUGAUGUUCUAACGUUGGCCCCUGACCGGGGUUGCGGACAGUGUCUGGUGGGUAGUUUGACUGGGGCGGUCUCCUCCCAAAGCGUAACGGAGGAGCACGAAGGUUAGCUAAUCCUGGUCGGACAUCAGGAGGUUAGUGCAAUGGCAUAAGCUAGCUUGACUGCGAGCGUGACGGCGCGAGCAGGUGCGAAAGCAGGUCAUAGUGAUCCGGUGGUUCUGAAUGGAAGGGCCAUCGCUCAACGGAUAAAAGGUACUCCGGGGAUAACAGGCUGAUACCGCCCAAGAGUUCAUAUCGACGGCGGUGUUUGGCACCUCGAUGUCGGCUCAUCACAUCCUGGGGCUGAAGUAGGUCCCAAGGGUAUGGCUGUUCGCCAUUUAAAGUGGUACGCGAGCUGGGUUUAGAACGUCGUGAGACAGUUCGGUCCCUAUCUGCCGUGGGCGCUGGAGAAUUGAGGGGGGCUGCUCCUAGUACGAGAGGACCGGAGUGGACGCAUCACUGGUGUUCGGGUUGUCAUGCCAAUGGCACUGCCCGGUAGCUAAAUGCGGAAGAGAUAAGUGCUGAAAGCAUCUAAGCACGAAACUUGCCCCGAGAUGAGUUCUCCCUGAGACUUUAAGUCUCCUGAAGGAACGUUAAAGACGAUGACGUUGAUAGGCCGGGUGUGUAAGCGCAGCGAUGCGUUGAGCUAACCGGUACUAAUGAACCGUGAGGCUUAACCUUACAACGCCGAAG
rnacentral:rRNA from 1 species